AUAUGAGUCCCCUGGGGGUCAUGUGAAAAUGCAGAUUCUGAUUCAGUAGCUCAAGAGUAGGGUCUGAGAUUCUGCAUUUCUAACAAGCUCCCAGGUGAUCCUGGA
rnacentral:pre_miRNA from 1 species